UUCCGUGUGGCUGUGUUCACUGUUCACGAAGAGAGAGGUCAACUGGUCAAGACAGAUGAGAGAGCCAGAAAGGUCGAGAAGUGCAGGUGUGUUUCUUUGCUUCGCAGAGAGAGAUUCAGGAUCGAGGACAAAGGAAGAAGAAAGGGGAAAGAAACGGAACAGAGGGAGAGAAGAAGAAAGGAGGAGAAGGAAAUAAGAAUUUUGAGAAGAGGUAUAGAGAUACAGAGACACUGAAAGGAGAGAUAUUGUCGGAGAACAGGUUUCGAACGUAGAGGACAGGACAUCGGUUGAUAGCCGGCAAUUUAGAAAGAAGAAGAAGACGGAUCUGAGUUUGGGUUGCUCCGGGGAAUUUGAAGUUCAGUGAUCGUGUUGGAAUGCAGUGUGAAUUGUUAAAGGAGAAGAGGUAAUCGUUUAUAGUGAUUGACUGGGAUGCAUAAAAUUCUUCUUCCUUCUUAAUCUGCUGUUCGAAUAAUGAGGUAAUCGUUUUUUUCCUUUCUGUAACUUUUCUUUAUUUUAUUGAAUUGCAAGUUUAGUCAUUGUGUUGGAAGGAAGAAGAACCGGAUAAUCACUGUUGAAAGGUUGACUUUUUAAGCUGCGUCUCAUUUAUCAUUGGUGUCAGUUAUUAAUGUCUAAUUAUUUGUAUUUGCAUGUGGUUGUUGGGGCUUGGUUUUCUUUUGUGACUAAACGUUGAGAACUGCUUUGCUUAUUUUCAUCCUGCAGCACUCAGAGCUUUGCAGAAUAAACUUGACCAAGAGUGCCACAAGAUCGAACACCAAAUUUGAGUUAAUUACAUUUGGAAAAUUAGGAUGGCCAUGUCAAUGCAUUUUAUUCGACCCUGUCAAUCCACAUUGAUGCAAAAUAUGCAGCAGAUGAGCAAUGGCCUCUCAAAACUGAUUUCAAAGUCGAGGUUGUUCACUCUUGGGAAUACAUGAUACGCCAACAUUGCAGGCAAAGGAAAGACUUUUUCUUGAUUGAGAAUGGCAGAUUCGGUCAGCAAAAAAUGUUUUCAUGGCAAUUGAUAGAGACGAAAACCCUAUCAAUAUUACUCAGGUCAAAUUACAAUCAAUGACCAAUUCAUCCAAGAAACUGGUGUGAAGCAAAACAUUUGCUAUUGUUAUGAGGCAUAACUUGGAAAUCUGAGAUUUUCCUUAUUUACGUUUGCUUUCUUUUCUUCGUUCUGGUCAUUAUCUACUCUGUUUUCAGCUGAGAGAGUUGGAUUCUAUUCAAUCUUGAGGAUCAGAGUUCUUUCCAAUCUUCGAUCUAUCCAUAAAAGGGUUUAAAUCUGUAAAUUUCAACAAAAACAAUUCACUAUAUAAUGUUCAUCCCAAUAACAUAUAACAAUGAUUUCCGCAGCAAAGCGCAGACACAUCUGCUAGUACUAUAUAUUAAAGGAGGGUGCGGGAUUCACUGUUCAUCAUCGAGCCGAGCCGAUGGUGAAAAGACGAUUUUGUCCUCAUUUUCCUUUUAAUUACAAUCGGCCAUUCACCCUUGCCCGAUCUUUUUCCACGCUUCUGUCUCCCAAUACCCUAGAUCUGCAGAUAGAGAACAAAUCCAGAGAGAGAGAGAGAGAUCUCGGGUGUGAUAGAAGCAUACUAGAGAGAGAGAGAGAGAGAGCAAAAGAGAGCCAGAGAGAGGAAGAAGACCUAUGUUUCGGAAGAAGACUCCAUCCGUCCGCACGGCCCGCCGCGAUUCGAAGAAAGUCCCUCGCCCUCAAUCGUCAAAUCAGUUGAUUUCGUUUACCAUGUUAUCUACCUUUAUCUUUCUACCCAGAUCGAUCAAUUUUUUCAUCUCUGUAACCAUAUGUUUACAACUUCUUAUUCUUUCUGAUCUUGAAAACUUUGUUCCUUAUGAUAGUAUUUGUUUUUGUCUUUCAAGAAUUGGUUUUGUUAUUAAUUUGACAAAAUAGAGUUACAGUAGAAAUCAAUAGAUAAGGCAAGGUAUGCGUGGAUGUAUCAAUUUUGUUUUUGUUUCAAGGUAUGCUUUUGAUCUGUCACAAUUUUAAAUUUUUCACUACUGAUCUAUAGCAUCUACUUUGUACUCUUAAUUUCAAUAA